AGGAUUGAAAGCGAAGAAAGCGGUUUCAGCCUUCUCCAAGUCCCUCUCUCGCUCCUUCCGCUCUCAAACCCUAGAUUGCCGCUGCUCUUGGCUGCUCCCCCACUCCAAGAUUUCGCACUUCGCGUUACGAUCGGGUUUACUGCACUUCUGGAAUAAUUGGCUGUGCGGCUCUCAUUUUAGGCAGUUUCGGUCCAUGGGUUCAACUAUGGCUGGUGAAUUGUUGGUGAGUGCAAAUGGAAAUGGUAAUGCCCAACCCAAUCCACAGAGAACGUACCAAGUUGUUGUGGCUGCGACUCGAGAAAUGGGUAUUGGAAAGGAUGGGAAACUGCCUUGGAGACUGCCGUCUGAUCUCAAGUUCUUUAAGGACAUCACUGUGACCACGUCAGAUCCUGUGAAAAAGAAUGCGAUUAUAAUGGGUAGAAAAACAUGGGAGAGCAUUCUACCUGAGCAUCAACCUCUACCUGGCCGCCUUAAUGUUGUUUUGACUCGUUCCGGGAGUUUUGAUAUUGCUACUGCAGAGAAUGUUGUGAUAUGCGGAAGCAUGGCAUCUGCUUUGGAAUUGUUAGCUGCUUCUCCUUACUGUCUGUCAAUUGAGAAAGUGUUUCUCAUUGGAGGUGGCGAGAUAUUAAGGGAAGCUCUCAAUGCGCCUGGCUGUGAAGCCAUUCACAUUACAGAAAUAGAGACAAACAUUGAAUGUGACACUUUUAUCCCUGCAAUUGAUUCCUCUGUAUUUCAGCCGUGGUGUUCAUCCUUUCCUAAGGUUGAAAUUGGCAUUCGUCAUUCUUUCACAACUUAUGUUCGUGUAAGAAAUUCUGCAGUUGAAUCCCUUUGUGAAAACAAUGAUCUGAACUCUAAUAGUAAGUCAGACUCUAUUAAGUGUGAGGUGAAGAAUUUUUCUUUUCUGCCGAAGAUGAUUUUUGAGAAACAUGAGGAGCACAUGUAUCUAAGGUUGGUUCGAGAAAUACUCUCUGAUGGCACUGCUAAGGAUGACAGGACAGGGACUGGUACUUUGUCAAAAUUCGGUUGCCAGAUGCGGUUUAAUCUGCGAAGAACUUUUCCCCUUCUGACAACUAAGAAAGUAUUUUGGCGAGGGGUUGUUGAAGAACUUCUGUGGUUCAUCAGUGGUUCAACAAAUGCCAAGGUCCUUCAGGAGAAAGGCAUUCACAUAUGGGAUGGGAAUGCAUCUAGAGACUACCUUGACAGUGUUGGUUUAACUGACAAGGAAGAGGGCGACUUGGGACCAGUAUAUGGAUUCCAGUGGCGACACUUUGGUGCCAGGUAUACUGACAUGCAUGCUGACUACACUGGUAAAGGAUUUGAUCAGUUGCUAGAUGUUAUUGACAAGAUUAAAAACAAUCCCGAUGAUCGGCGGAUUAUACUGUCAGCAUGGAAUCCUUCUGAUCUCAAAUCGAUGGCACUCCCACCUUGUCACAUGUUUGCUCAGUUCUAUGUAGCCAAUGGAGAGUUAUCAUGUCAAAUGUAUCAGCGUUCUGCUGACAUCGGCCUUGGCGUUCCAUUUAACAUAGCAUCAUAUGCUCUUCUGACAUGCAUGAUUGCUCAUGUUUGUGAUCUUGUUCCUGGUGAUUUCAUUCAUGUCUUAGGGGAUGCUCAUGUUUACCGCACUCACAUCAGGCCUUUGCAGGAGCAGCUUGAAAAACUGCCCAAGCCUUUUCCAAUUUUGAAGAUCAAUCCUGAGAAAAAGAAUAUAGAUUCUUUUGCGGCUGCUGAUUUCCAACUGAUAGGUUAUGAUCCUCAUCAGAAGAUAGAAAUGAAAAUGGCCGUAUAGGGCUUUCUCAAAUUUUCAGUAGAGAGCUCAGAGACUAGUCUUUUUGUCUAUGCGAUGCUGCUGUUAGUUUUGAAGGCGCAGGAUUUGAUGGUUGAUGUUGAUGUUGAUGUAGAGUUUCAAUACAGAUGAAUAACUGGUAGUAGGAUAUACUUGAAGCUUUGCAUUUGUAGUAAUCGGGAAUCCUUUAGUUCCACAUACACUCGGACUCGGGUGGUUCUAAGGUGAUUUAGGAUACUUUUGUCUUUUUAUUUGAGCAUGCUUCGGUACUUUGUCACCUGGAUGGAGCCUCAUCACUUUGCUUUCUUAAUUACUAUGUUGUACGUUUAUAAUUAAAUGGAGUUGGAUCACAUGAUUUACCUU